CCUACGGGUGGCAGCAGUGGGGAAUAUUGCACAAUGGGCGCAAGCCUGAUGCAGCCAUGCCGCGUGUAUGAAGAAGGCCUUAGGGUUGUAAAGUACUUUCAAUUGGGAGGAAGGCGUUGAUGCUAAUAUCAUCAACGAUUGACGUUACCAACAGAAGAAGCACCGGCUAACUCCGUGCCAGCAGCCGCGGUAAUACGGAGGGUGCAAGCGUUAAUCGGAAUUACUGGGCGUAAAGCGCACGCAGGCGGUUGAUUAAGUUAGAUGUGAAAUCCCCGGGCUUAACCUGGGAAUGGCAUCUAAGACUGUUCAGCUAGAGUCUUGUAGAGGGGGGGUAGAAUUCCAUGUGUAGCGGUGAAAUGCGUGGAGAUGUGGAGGAGUACCGGUGGCGAAGGCGGCCCCCUGGACAAAGACUGACGCUCAGGUGCGAAAGCGUGGGGAGCAAACAGGAUUAGAUACCCUUGUAGUC
rnacentral:rRNA from 1 species